rnacentral:rRNA from 1 species
GGAAAGGCGCGCGAUACAGGGUGACAGCCCCGUACACAAAAAUGCACAUGCUGUGAGCUCGAUGAGUAGGGCGGGACACGUGGUAUCCUGUCUGAAUAUGGGGGGACCAUCCUCCAAGGCUAAAUACUCCUGACUGACCGAUAGUGAACCAGUACCGUGAGGGAAAGGCGAAAAGAACCCCGGCGAGGGGAGUGAAAAAGAACCUGAAACCGUGUACGUACAAGCAGUGGGAGCACGCUUAGGCGUGUGACUGCGUACCUUUUGUAUAAUGGGUCAGCGACUUAUAUUCUGUAGCAAGGUUAACCGAAUAGGGGAGCCGAAGGGAAACCGAGUCUUAACUGGGCGUUAAGUUGCAGGGUAUAGACCCGAAACCCGGUGAUCUAGCCAUGGGCAGGUUGAAGGUUGGGUAACACUAACUGGAGGACCGAACCGACUAAUGUUGAAAAAUUAGCGGAUGACUUGUGGCUGGGGGUGAAAGGCCAAUCAAACCGGGAGAUAGCUGGUUCUCCCCGAAAGCUAUUUAGGUAGCGCCUCGUGAAUUCAUCUCCGGGGGUAGAGCACUGUUUCGGCAAGGGGGUCAUCCCGACUUACCAACCCGAUGCAAACUGCGAAUACCGGAGAAUGUUAUCACGGGAGACACACGGCGGGUGCUAACGUCCGUCGUGAAGAGGGAAACAACCCAGACCGCCAGCUAAGGUCCCAAAGUCAUGGUUAAGUGGGAAACGAUGUGGGAAGGCCCAGACAGCCAGGAUGUUGGCUUAGAAGCAGCCAUCAUUUAAAGAAAGCGUAAUAGCUCACUGGUCGAGUCGGCCUGCGCGGAAGAUGUAACGGGGCUAAACCAUGCACCGAAGCUGCGGCAGCGACGCUGAUGCGUUGUUGGGUAGGGGAGCGUUCUGUAAGCCUGCGAAGGUGUGCUGUGAGGCAUGCUGGAGGUAUCAGAAGUGCGAAUGCUGACAUAAGUAACGAUAAAGCGGGUGAAAAGCCCGCUCGCCGGAAGACCAAGGGUUCCUGUCCAACGUUAAUCGGGGCAGGGUGAGUCGACCCCUAAGGCGAGGCCGAAAGGCGUAGUCGAUGGGAAACAGGUUAAUAUUCCUGUACUUGGUGUUACUGCGAAGGGGGGACGGAGAAGGCUAUGUUGGCCGGGCGACGGUUGUCCCGGUUUAAGCGUGUAGGCUGGUUUUCCAGGCAAAUCCGGAAAAUCAAGGCUGAGGCGUGAUGACGAGGCACUACGGUGCUGAAGCAACAAAUGCCCUGCUUCCAGGAAAAGCCUCUAAGCAUCAGGUAACAUCAAAUCGUACCCCAAACCGACACAGGUGGUCAGGUAGAGAAUACCAAGGCGCUUGAGAGAACUCGGGUGAAGGAACUAGGCAAAAUGGUGCCGUAACUUCGGGAGAAGGCACGC